UACAGAGGUGGCAAGCGUUGUUCGGAAUUACUGGGCGUAAAGGGCGCGUAGGCGGUCAGGUCAGUCCCGUGUGAAAUCCCUCGGCUCAACUGAGGAACUGCACGGGAAACUACCUGGCUUGAGUUCGGGAGAGGGAAGCGGAAUUCCGGGUGUAGCGGUGAAAUGCGUAGAUAUCCGGAGGAACACCGGUGGCGAAGGCGGCUUCCUGGACCGACACUGACGCUGAGGCGCGAAAGCUAGGGGAGCGAACGGG
rnacentral:rRNA from 1 species